rnacentral:rRNA from 1 species
AACGAACGCUGGCGGCAUGCCUAACACAUGCAAGUCGAACGAGACCUCCGGGCUUAGUGGCGCACGUCUGCUUAACGCCUGGGAACUUACCCUUAGGUUCGGUAUAACUCCCUUAAAGCGGUGCUAAGACCGGAUAAUGUCUUCGGACCAAAGAUUUUUCGCCUCGGGGUGGGCCCGCGUUAGUUUGGCUGGUUGGUGGGGUAAUAGCCUACCAACGCCACGAUCCAUAGCUGGUCGGGGAGCAGGAUCCUCCACACUGGAACUCAGACACGGCCCACACUCGUACGCAGCAGUGCGGUAGAGAAUAUUAGGGGCUGGGCGAAAGCCUGAUCCAGCAAUGCCGCGUGAGUCAUGAAGGCCUUAGGGUUGUAAAGCUCUUUUACACGAAACGAUAAUGACAGUACUGGGAAAAUAAGCUCCGGCUAACUCCGUG